AUUGAACGCUGGCGGCAUGCUUUACACAUGCAAGUCGAACGGUAACAGGCCGCAAGGUGCUGACGAGUGGCGAACGGGUGAGUAAUGCAUCGGAACGUGCCCAGUCGUGGGGGAUAACGCAGCGAAAGCUGCGCUAAUACCGCAUACGAUCUAUGGAUGAAAGCGGGGGACCGUAAGGCCUCGCGCGAUUGGAGCGGCCGAUGUCAGAUUAGGUAGUUGGUGGGGUAGAGGCUCACCAAGCCAACGAUCUGUAGCUGGUCUGAGAGGACGACCAGCCACACUGGGACUGAGACACGGCCCAGACUCCUACGGGAGGCAGCAGUGGGGAAUUUUGGACAAUGGGCGAAAGCCUGAUCCAGCAAUGCCGCGUGCAGGAAGAAGGCCUUCGGGUUGUAAACUGCUUUUGUACGGAGCGAAAAGGUCCUUUCUAAUACAAGGGGCUCAUGACGGUACCGUAAGAAUAAGCACCGGCUAACUACGUGCCAGCCGCCGCUGUAACAC
rnacentral:rRNA from 1 species